rnacentral:rRNA from 1 species
CUGAACAUCAAAUCUUUAAACACAUUGCGCCCCCUGUAUUCGGGGGGCAUGCCUGUCCAAGCUCAUUUCA